GGGGCCGAUUGGUUUCGACGGUGGUCUGUUCGUCGCAGGGAAGCGCGCCGAGAACGCGGGGGUCCACUCGUUAACGUCCUCCCGCAAAGAAUAAGUGCUAAAUCUAAUCGCACUGAGUUCGCUCUCGCUGCCUGAGCUUAGCGCCAGGAAUUAACCAGCGAGCCGCGGCUCCGCCCACUCCUCCAUGUCUUCGGGAGGAUGCUGGACGUCGUUAAGAAGACUUGCUUUCGCCACCGGGCCGCAGGGUGACGAGGGGACUUUUACUGUGGAUAUGCUCGCCAUCGGUUGUCCGCGACAAUGAUGGGGGCAGAAAAACUGCCGACUGGCCAGCGGACUACGCGCGUAGAAGACUGAGGGUACGGUCAUCGGACCGGGGUUCAAUCCCCCGCGGCUCCACU
rnacentral:tmRNA from 1 species